CGGUUCGGGGAACAUCCUGUCGCUUUCACCGCGGCCGGAGCCGUGGACGUGUUCACUCUUCCCUCGCAGUGCGGAGCUGAGCGCUCGCACUGUGGAGGUGAUCCGCAGAGGUGAGAGCUCCUCGGUGUUCUCCAUCCUCACCGCGGCUCUGACAGAAACAUCUGAGCGCCUCAUGAUGGAUGAUGUGAGACAGGUGUGACCAACAGAGCGUGACGGGGACGACUCCCAUCAGGUCCGUUUGGGUUUCAGCCUGGAAAGUCCGGAGGAUUCAGAGGAGCACCUGAUUCUCUCUGGAGACCUGGAGGAGGAAGGUGGAGGUGGGACGAGAGGAGACGAGCUGUUUGCUUGUUCUUCGGUUCAGUGCAACUCAUUAAUGAUGUGCUUUGGACCAGAUGUUCGUUAGAGGUUUAGCAGUAAAGAAACGUGUGCAUUAUUUAUUUAUUUAUUUUUUUGUUUAAUUUUUGACUUGAAUAAAUAUGAAAUAGUUUUCCCAUAUACAAGUAUGGUUGUUUAAACCUUUCCACAUUUUGUCAUGUUACAAACAGACUUUUUUUUUUUGUGUGUGGAUUUUCUGAUUAAAACAUUUUCAUUUCAGGCCAAAUCAAGAUCAUGAAUGCCCUCAGUGGUUGGGGUAGAGUGUAAAAUUAACAAACUGCCAAAAUGUUAAUUGAAUUCAUGAGCACCUAUUAAAAUUAUAUAAUAUGUAAAGUCUUUACAUAAAUGUAUUUUGGGACUAUACAAAUAAAAACCGAUCUGACUGAUUGUC